rnacentral:rRNA from 1 species
CCUACGGGUGGCUGCAGUGGGGAAUAUUGCACAAUGGGGGAAACCCUGAUGCAGCAACGCCGCGUGAGUGAAGAAGUAUUUCGGUAUGUAAAGCUCUAUUAGCAGGGAAGAAGAAAGACGGUACCUGUCUAAGAAGCCCCGGCUAACUACGGGCCAGCAGCCGCGGGAAUAUGUAGGGGGCAAGCGUUAUUCGGAUUUACUGGGCGUAAAGGGUGCGUAGGCGGGUGUGCAAGUCUGAAGUGAAAGCCCGUGGCUCAACCGCGGAACUGCUUUGGAAACUGUAUAGCUUGAGUACUGGAGAGACAGGCGGAAUUCCUAGUGUAGCGGUGAAAUGCGUAGAGAUUAGGAGGAACACCAGUGGCGAAGGCGGCCUGCUGGACAGAAACUGACGUUGAGGCUCGAAAGCGUGGGGAGCAAACAGGAUUAGAUACCCUUGUAGUC